GAUGAAGAACGCAGCGAAAUGCGAUAAGUAAUGUGAAUUGCAGAAUUCAGUGAAUCAUCGAAUCUUUGAACGCACAUUGCGCCCCUUGGUAUUCCGAGGGGCAUGCCUGUUCGAGCGUCAUUAUAACCCCUCAAGCUCAGCUUGGUGUUGGGGCCUGCUGCACUGGCAGCCCUUAAAAUCAGUGGCGGCGCCAUCUGGCUCUAAGCGUAGUAAUUCUUCUCGCUAUGGAGUCCUGGUGGAUGCUUGCCAUCAACCCCCAAUUUUUCUAUGGUUCACCUCGGAUCAGGUAGGGAUACCCGCUGAACUUAAGCAUAUCAAUAAGCGGAGGA
rnacentral:misc_RNA from 1 species